GACGAACGCUGGCGGCGUGCUUAACACAUGCAAGUCGAACGGAAAGGCCCUGCUUUUGUGGGGUGCUCGAGUGGCGAACGGGUGAGUAACACGUGAGUAACCUGCCCUUGACUUUGGGAUAACUUCAGGAAACUGGGGCUAAUACCGGAUAGGAGCUCCUGCUGCAUGGUGGGGGUUGGAAAGUUUCGGCGGUUGGGGAUGGACUCGCGGCUUAUCAGCUUGUUGGUGGGGUAGUGGCUUACCAAGGCUUUGACGGGUAGCCGGCCUGAGAGGGUGACCGGCCACAUUGGGACUGAGAUACGGCCCAGACUCCUACGGGAGGCAGCAGUGGGGAAUAUUGCACAAGGGGCGGAAGCCUGAUGCAGCAACGCCGCGUGCGGGAUGACGGCCUUCGGGUUGUAAACCGCUUUCGCCUGUGACGAAGCGUGAGUGACGGUAAUGGGUAAAGAAGCACCGGCAAACUACGU
rnacentral:rRNA from 1 species